rnacentral:rRNA from 1 species
GACGAACCGUCCAAACGUUAUUCGGAAUCACUGGGCUUAAAGGGCGCGUAGGCGGAGAGGCAAGUCAGAGGUGAAAGCCCACGGCUCAACCGUGGAAGCGCCCCUGAAACGGCCGCUCUCGAGGGAGAUAGGGGCGUGCGGAACUCAGAGUGGAGCGGUGAAAUGCGUAGAUAUUCUGAGGAACACCGGUGGCGAAAGCGGCACGCUGGGUCUUUUCUGACGCUGAUGCACGAAAGCUAGGGGAGCAAACGGG